rnacentral:ncRNA from 1 species
ACAAAGUUUUAUUAAAGCUUAAAAAUUAAAUAUAUGGUGACCCUACAUGUAAAGAUUAAUUUAGAAAGUACAUGAGCAGUAGGUAGAUUUGCUUAUUAAGGUAACUUAGAAUUAGAUACCCAUAUUUUCACUAACAAAUUUUGUGCCAGCAGUUGCGGUUAGACAUAAAGUGUUAUUUAAUUUUGUUCGGUAAGUAAUAAUUUUAUAAUUGAAAUUUAAAUUUAGGAUUUUAAGGUGGAAUUUUAUUUCUAAUGUAAUAAAUGUAAAGGAAAGAUUUACUAAAUUCUUUAAAAAACUAGGAUUAGAUACCCUAUUAUUUUGAAUGUAAAGAUUAAAUUCCUGAGUAGUAUUAGUUUAUUCUUGAAAUUUAAAUAAUUUGGCGGUGUUUUAGCCUAUUUAGAGGAACCUGUCCUAUAAUUGAUAUUCCACGAUUAAUCUAACUUAAUUUUUAAGCUUGCAUAUCGUCGUUAUUUGAAUAUCUCUUGAGUGUAUAAAUUUUCGAUAUUUAUAAUUAUAAGUUAAAUCAGAUCAAGGUACAGUAGAUAGUUGAGAAGUGAUGGGUUACAAUAAAUAUAUUUAUGGAUUAUGAUAUGAAAUUAUUAUAUGAAAUUGGAUUUGACAGUAAAUUUAUUAAUAUAAUUAAAUUGACUUUAGCUCUAAAAUAUGCACAUAUCGCCCGUCGCUCCAACUUUAAAGUUGGAUAAGUCGUAACAAAGUAGGUGUACUGGAAAGUGUGCCUGGGAAGAC